rnacentral:rRNA from 1 species
UGGCUCAGGACGAACGCUGGCGGCGUGCCUAAUACAUGCAAGUCGAACGGUCUUUCUAUGGAAGCUUGCUUCCACUGAGAAGAUAGUGGCGAACGGGUGAGUAACACGUGGGUAACCUGCCCAUAAGAGGGGGAUAACAUCGAAACGGGUGCUAAUACCGCAUAGUUUUCUUGAUCGCAUGAUCGGGAAAGGAAAGACGGCCUUUGUGCUGUCGCUUAUGGGUGGACCCGCGGCGUAUUAGUUAGUUGGUGAGGUAACGGCUCACCAAGACGAUGAUACGUAGCCGACCUGAGAGGGUGAUCGGCCACAUUGGGACUGAGACACGGCCCAAACUCCUACGGGAGGCAGCAGUAGGGAAUCUUCCGCAAUGGACGAAAGUCUGACGGAGCAACGCCGCGUGAGUGAAGAAAAGGUUUUCGGAUCGUAAAACUCUGUUGUCAGAGAAGAACAAGUUGGAGAGUAACUGCUCCAGCCUUGACGGUAUCUGACCAGAAAGCCACGGCUAACUACGUGCCAGCCGCAGC